rnacentral:rRNA from 1 species
GACGAACGCUGGCGGCGUGCUUAACACAUGCAAGUCGAGCGGUAAGGCCCUUUCGGGGGUACACGAGCGGCGAACGGGUGAGUAACACGUGGGUGACCUGCCCUCAGCUCUGGGAUAAGCCUGGGAAACCGGGUCUAAUACCGGAUAUGACUCCAUGACGCAUGUUGUGGGGUGGAAAGCCUUGUGCGGCUGAGGAUGGGCCCGCGGCCUAUCAGCUUGUUGGUGGGGUGAUGGCCUACCAAGGCGACGACGGGUAGCCGGCCUGAGAGGGCGACCGGCCACACUGGGACUGAGACACGGCCCAGACUCCUACGGGAGGCAGCAGUGGGGAAUCUUGCGCAAUGGGCGAAAGCCUGACGCAGCGACGCCGCGUGAGCGAUGAAGCCCUUCGGGGUGUAAAGCUCUUUCGACAGGAACGAUAAUGACGGUACCUGGAG